rnacentral:rRNA from 1 species
UGGCUCAGAACGAACGCUGGUGGCGCGUUUUAAGCAUGCAAGUCGAACGGUAGUAAGGUGCUUGCACCUUAUGAGAGUGGCGAACGGGUGAGUAACACGUAGGUGAUCUACCGUAAAGUUGGGGAUAGCCUGUGGAAACACAGGGUAAUACCGGAUAAUUCUUAUUGUUUACGGACGAUAAGGGAAAGGGGCCACGGCCCUGCCUUUCGAAAAGCCUGCGUUCCAUUAGUUAGUUGGCAGGGUAACGGCCUACCAAGGCGACGAUGGAUAGCCGGCCUGAGAGGGUGACCGGCCACACUGGGACUGAGACACGGCCCAGACUCCUACGGGAGGCAGCAGCUAAGAAUCUUCCGCAAUGGGCGAAAGCCUGACGGAGCGACGCCGCGUGGACGAAGAAGGCCGGAAGGUUGUAAAGUCCUUUUCUCGAUGAAGAAUAAGGCAGCGAGGGAAUGCGCUGUCGAUGACAUUAGUUGAGGAAUAAGCCCCGGCUAAUUACGUGCCAGCAGCCGCGGUAACACGUAAGGGGCGAGCGUUGUUCGGAAUUAUUGGGCGUAAAGGGCGCGUAGGCGGCUUGGCAAGCCUGGUGUGAAAGGCCACAGCUUAACUGUGGGAGUGCGCUGGGAACUGCCUAGCUAGAGUUUCGGAGGGGAAGCUGGAAUUCCUGGUGUAGGGGUGAAAUCUGUAGAUAUCAGGAAGAACAUCUGUGGCGAAGGCGAGCUUCUGGCCAGAAACUGACGCUGAGGCGCGAAAGCGUGGGGAGCGAACAGGAUUAGAUACCCUGGUAGUCCACGCUGUAAACGAUGUGCACUAGGUGUUGGCUGUGAUAACGGUCAGUGCCGAAGCAAACGCGAUAAGUGCACCGCCUGGGGAGUAUGCUCG